rnacentral:rRNA from 1 species
UACGGGGGGGGCGAAGCGUUGUUCGGAAUUACUGGGCGUAAAGGGCUCGUAGGCGGCCAACUAAGUCGGAUGUGAAAUCCCCAGGCUUAACCUGGGAACUGCAUCCGAUACUGGAUGGCUUGAAUCCGGGAGAGGGAUGCAGAAUUCCAGGUGUAGCGGUGAAAUGCGUAGAUAUCUGGAGGAAUACCGGUGGCGAAGGCGGCAUCCUGGACCGGCAUUGACGCUGAGUGAGCGAAAGCCAGGGGAGCAAACGGG